GCCUAGCUGAUCACAGGAGGCUCGCAGGGCCUGCUGCCUGUUAAUGGGAUGACAGUGCCACCUUCAAGACCAAUAGUGUGGUUCAGGAUGUCUGAUCUGAAAGCAUGUUGUGGUCCGCUACACACAAGAGCAAAAGAAGAGCAGGAAGGAACUCAGUACCAAGACUACAGCCACAGGAAGAACAGCAGCUCUUAGGGCUGCAGCUCUAAAGACAGGCCAGGUCAUUACAGGAGCGUCUGCUCCCUUAGCCUUGCCAGACAGAGGAGGGUUAAGAAAGGAACUGCCGACCCUGAUAUGCAAACUGCCACAAGUGCUUCCUGCCUUUCUAUCAGCGUCAGAUGGCUAGUGAUGGAUGGUUGUAAAGUGGAUAUAAUUAAUAUUUUAUUUUCAGGGCCACGGUGCUUCUUGGGAGCACCAAGCAAAUCAACCAACAGAUUAAAGAGUGAUGGA